rnacentral:rRNA from 1 species
GAUGAACGCUGGCGGCGUGCCUAAUACAUGCAAGUCGAGCGAACAGACGAGGAGCUUGCUCCUCUGACGUUAGCGGCGGACGGGUGAGUAACACGUGGAUAACCUACCUAUAAGACUGGGAUAACUUCGUGAAACCGGAGCCAAUACCGGAUAAUAUAUUGAACCGCAUGGUUCAAUAGUGAAAGACGGCUUUGCUGUCACUUAUAGAUGGAUCCGCGCCGCAUUAGCUAGUUGGUAAGGUAACGGCUUACCAAGGCAACGAUGCGUAGCCGACCUGAGAGGGUGAUCGGCCACACUGGAACUGAGACACGGUCCAGACUCCUACGGGAGGCAGCAGUAGGGAAUCUUCCGCAAUGGGCGAAAGCUUGAAGAAGCAACGCCGCGUGAGUGAUGAAGGUCUUCGGAUCGUAAAACUCUGUUAUUAGGGAAGGACAAAUGUGUAAGUAACUAUGCACGUCUUGACGGUACCUAAUCAGAAAGCCACGGCUAGCUACGUG